rnacentral:rRNA from 1 species
AACGAACGCUGGCGGCAGGCUUAACACAUGCAAGUCGAACGCCCCGCAAGGGGAGUGGCAGACGGGUGAGUAACGCGUGGGAACAUACCCUUUCCUGCGGAAUAGCUCCGGGAAACUGGAAUUAAUACCGCAUACGCCCUACGGGGGAAAGAUUUAUCGGGGAAGGAUUGGCCCGCGUUGGAUUAGCUAGUUGGUGGGGUAAAGGCCUACCAAGGCGACGAUCCAUAGCUGGUCUGAGAGGAUGAUCAGCCACAUUGGGACUGAGACACGGCCCAAACUCCUACGGGAGGCAGCAGUGGGGAAUAUUGGACAAUGGGCGCAAGCCUGAUCCAGCCAUGCCGCGUGAGUGAUGAAGGCCUUAGGGUUGUAAAGCUCUUUCACCGAUGAAGAUAAUGACGGUAGUCGGAGAAGAAGCCCCGGCUAACUUCGUG